GUCAAGGAGAAGUUUCCCAGAGAACACCCUCAGUAUAUUGAUAGGAUAUUUGUGAAGUAUUGAAGUGAUACUCAUAAACACAUACUGUUUUAUAGACUGAAGUUCCAGCAAAAUAGAUAUUAUGAAAAUUAAGACCAGUAUGUGUAUAUCUAAUAUGGCUUAUUUAAAAUGAUCUAGUUAUUUUUGAAUUUUAAAGGCCUGUUUGAUAUCUCUGGAAAAAAUAGUCCUUUUAUCUUUCUGUGUGAAGCUGAAAUGUACACUUAUAGAGAUAUAUCUCACGUAUGGGAAAUAAAUCAGUUUAGGCAGAAUUGUUGAGCAUAAUGCAAACAGAACUAUUUCACCCAGCAGUUCCACACCCUUGGAGAGACACCACCUCUACCUGGGGGCUCUCAUUCAAGAUGGGCCAUACUUCACAGUUUAGUACCUUAUGUGCUUUCUUUUGGAGCAACCAGUUGAUUAUUUCCUAGAUUGCUAAGUAAGACACAUUAACUUUCAUCCUUUGCCUCCUUCAAGAAGACUGUGGAUGAGAGAGGAUAGAUAGCUGGGGCCUCCGAUGAAUUUGCACAAGCGUUUGAUAAUACGUCGUGUAACCGAUUUCAAGGUCUGGUGGCCACAGGACCCAGCAAUUCAUUGUGAAAUCUUUAAGGACAAGGGCUUUGACAUUCCGUGUGCUGAGCCCUUGCUCAGGGCCUGGUGCUGUUAUGUAAAUGGUAAAUAUGACCUUGGGAAAAAAAAAUAAAUGAGC